rnacentral:rRNA from 1 species
CGGCCGCGUCGACCCAAGGCAACGAUGCGUAGCCGACCUGAGAGGGUGAUCGGCCACACUGGAACUGAGACACGGUCCAGACUCCUACGGGAGGCAGCAGUAGGGAAUCUUCCGCAAUGGGCGAAAGCCUGACGGAGCAACGCCGCGUGAGUGAUGAAGGUCUUCGGAUCGUAAAACUCUGUUAUUAGGGAAGAACAAAUGUGUAAGUAACUAUGCACGUCUUGACGGUACCUAAUCAGAAAGCCACGGCUAACUACGUGCCAGCAGCCGCGGUAAUACGUAGGUGGCAAGCGUUAUCCGGAAUUAUUGGGCGUAAAGCGCGCGUAGGCGGUUUUUUAAGUCUGAUGUGAAAGCCCACGGCUCAACCGUGGAGGGUCAUUGGAAACUGGAAAACUUGAGUGCAGAAGAGGAAAGUGGAAUUCCAUGUGUAGCGGUGAAAUGCGCAGAGAUAUGGAGGAACACCAGU